rnacentral:ncRNA from 1 species
UAGAACAAUGUAGGUAAGGGAAGUCGGCAAGUUCGAUCCGUAACUUCGGGACAAGGAUUGGCUCUGAGGACUGGGCCCGUCGGGCUGGGGUCCGAAGCGGGUGUGGCACUGCACCGGGACUGGGCGAGACGCCGUGAAAGCGGUCCGGUCCGGCCCGGACCAGCUUCGGGGCCUUCCCGUGGAAUGCCUCAGCUGCGCGGCGAAUCGGGCACAAAGCUCGGAGCGACCGUUUCGGCAGACAACUAACAGCCGACUCAGAACUGGCACGGACUAAGGGAAUCCGACUGUCUAAUUAAAACAAAGCAUUGCGAUGGCCGGUGACCAGUGGUGACGCAAUGUGAUUUCUGCCCAGUGCUCUGAAUGUCAAAGUGAAGAAAUUCAUCCAAGCGCGGGUAAACGGCGGGAGUAACUAUGACUCUCUUACUGGAUUACGGGUAUCCAGAUGCGAACUAACACCUAUCCAACACAAGUCUUGUCACGAGGUCGGGAGGAGGGAGACGUGAGCUGUCGACUUUGUCGAUUUCCUCAUGAAACCCUUCACCAUCUCUUAGGUGCUUGUCCUAGGCUCAAGAAAGCACGCAUUAGGAGGCACAAUCGGAUUGUGAACCUGCUACAGACACGUUGCGGGUUGCUAGGCUGGCGGUCAAGAAAGGAGCACACGUUUACCCUGGAGGAUGGCACACGCCUGAGACCAGAUUUAGUAGUGUUUAACGGCAAGAAGGUUGUCGUGGUGGACGUGACCAUCCUGUAUGAGACCAACAGUCCGAGCGUGUUUUCGAGGGCGUGCGAAGAGAAGGUGAGGAAGUACGAGCCUCUUUUUGGAGUCAUCCAGGAGGAGGACCUCGGUACUGAGAUCUCUUUCCACGGUCUUGUCAUCGGAGCUAGAGGAGCCUGACUGACAGCGGUAAAUGCCCCUGUCAUGGCAGAUCUAGGAAUUAGGUCUUGGCAAUUUGAGGCGAUGUUGGCUCGCCGCGUACUCCUUAUGUCAGUCGACAUGUUGAGGCUAGUGACUGACGGAGCGGAUGGCUGGACGGCCACCAGAUGAGAGGAGAAAGGAUGCAGGAUGUCCCAGAUCAAGAGGGCCGCGGAGCUACUCCGGGGGAUCGAAGGACCUUAAGAUUCCGCUGAUGCAGGCAGAGAGUGGCGCUGACGUGGUCACAACUCCGAUCGUAGUUUCCAGAAAUCCUGGCUGGACGGUCUCAUGUUGCCUAAAGUGACACGUGGUCGCGGAGGGUACUCAUCUGACUGGACCGGGGUGGGCGAGGGUUGAACUGGUCCUUAAGUGGUGUGGAACUUCCCUUGUUCGUCUCUGUGCACUGGGCUUGGGGUUUUUCGUCGGGAUUUCCCCCAAGUGUAAGGAGUAUUCCCCAUUGUUUAAGGAUCCCUGUAAUAGGGGUCCAGGGUCCCGACCGGGCUGGGCUAGGCUGGUACGGAUGUACUGGCGAUGAUGCGCACCCGCCCCCAUGAUCUUGGUGGUGUUAGUAACUAGAUGUACUUAUGGAUGGAUUUCUCCUUCUAGGGGCUAAACGGGCUCUCAGGAGCAACGCAACUAGAAGAUGACUGUCGUGCCAGAAAGUCUGGCUGUGGUGGCGGUACGACAGGUGCUUUAUCUGCCAUCUGAUGGCCCAUUCCGGUGGUCGCCUAGCGGAUGAGGUACUCAUCACCUGACGUGAACUCGAAGAUCCAGGAUUAAGGUAAGCGUCAGGUACACGCUGUGGGUGUGGCCUCAUGCUUUGUGGGUAAGCUAUUCACUAUUUAUAUGGUGAGAAUGAGGACGGAUGAUUGCUAGUGUGACUACAAGCCACGGAUGCAAGGUCCUGGCUCAGUGCCAAGGGGAGGCCUGGUAUCCCUGAAAUCCGCUCGGACGCAAAGUUCGUCGCGUGGCGGCCGUAGCCAAAUGCCUCGUCAUCUAAUUAGUGACGCGCAUGAAUGGAUUAACGAGAUUCCUUCUGUCCCUAUCUACUACUA